CUCUCCCUCUUGUCCAUGUUUAGACAUGGAUGUCUCCUCUUCCCUUUUAUCCAAAAGUUGGACAAAAUUUCUACAUCUCUAUUGUAGAGAUAUGGUGCAUGAAUUUUAGAAAAAAAAGAGAAGAAAAGGGUUCUUCUCAUGAUCUCUCGCAUAGAGAUCAAGGUCCUCCUAUAUCUUCUUUUCUCUAAGAGUGUCUUAGGAUAAAAGAAGAUUUUUAACCGUCAAGAUGCGAUCUCUGCAAGGGAGCUAGCAUCCUAAUGAGAUCAAAAGGCUUCUGAUCAUAUCAGAGUCUCGUAUGGAUAUCCAUAGAAAUCGAAUGCUUGUGCGGCU
rnacentral:lncRNA from 1 species